rnacentral:misc_RNA from 1 species
AUUACGAAAUGUUCUCUAGAUCUGUUGAACACGUGAACCCGUCCAGUUGACAGCACGUGCAACUUCAAGUUUUUACUACAACUAGUUUAUUAAGAUCGAAACUGUUAUUUUAUUAGUGAGGUAAGGAAAAAUAAUAUAUAUAGCUAAUUAAUUCAAGGAAAAACUUAGAAUUGAGCCUUAAAAAAGGAUUUUUGUUUGGUGUAUAUCUAGACAUGAAAGUUUAAAUUUAAUCGCAUCUUUUUAGUUGUUUCUGAAUAUUUUCGUUACAAAAUGCAAAUAUAAUGCCUUUAUCAUCAAAAUUAGAUCGCUUAUAUCAUAAUUUGCCAGAAAAUUACUUUUCCGCCAAAUAAAAGUAGUGCCGUUAUUUUUCGCGGGCAAAAGCUUUUGUAGAAAAAAUUGGCAUUAUCUUUCUAAAUGAACUCAGAGAUUUCAAUAAAGGACAUAGUGAAAAGAAAACAGCUUUAGCUGGAUAUAAUUCGAAUUGAAGUUGCAAUUAUAAUUGUCAUAUUAUCGGCCUAACACGUGCUGAGACAACUGACUACUCAGACAGAAAGCGCAAAUUUUUUGUUAAGGUAUUUUCUGUAUUGAGUAGCAAACAUUACUUUCCUAAGUUGGUAUUAGUAUAUAUAUAACGCUUUACUUUCUAAAAAUUGCAUUAUAUAAUGUAUGAAACUGAAAUUUCAUUUCAUUCAUAUUGAGUGCGUUGAUAUCUUGAUCUUCAAAGAUUGCUUCAAAUCAACAUGAGUGACGAUUGGGAAGAAACGCCUUCUGCUGAACAUUUCUCAUCACACAAUGAUGACUCAGGUCGAAGUGGUGGCAGUGGUUUUGGAAGCAGACCUUCUAGGAGAGAGCCUGAAAGGAAUUCGAGAGGUGGCAAUGGAUUUGGUAAUGACGAUGAAUUUGACAGAGGUCGAAAACAUCGUUCAAUGGAAGACGAUUUUGAUAGGAAUAGAGGCCGCAGUGGAUUUGGUGAUAGAGGUCGUAAUGAUGAUAAUGGUUUUGGCAGAGGAGGAUCUGGUAAAAAUUUUAGGUCAUACGACAGAGAUGAUGAUUCGGGAAGAGGAUUUGGAGACCGUGGCGGUAGUGGGUUCGGAGACCGUAGUGGUGAUCGAGGCGGAUUCGGAGACCGUGGCGGUGAUCGGGGCGGUAGUGGUUUCGGAGACCAUAGCGGUGAUCGGGCUGGUAGCGGUUUCGGAGACCGUGGUGGCGACCGAGGCGGUAGCGGUUUCGGAGACCGUGGUGGUGACCGAGGCGGUAGUGGUUUUGGUGAUCGUGGUGACCGAGGAGGUAAUAGUUUUGGAGAUCGGGGUGGCAGUGGUUUCAGAGAUCGUGCUGGUGACCGAGGCGGUAGUGGUUUCGGAGACCGAGGCAGUGGCGGAUUUGGAGACCGUGGUAAUGACCGAGGCGGAUUCGGAGACCGUGGUGACCGAGGCGGCAGCGGAUUCGGGGACCGAAAUGGAGGUGGUUUCGGAGACCGUGGUGACAGAGGUUUUGGUGAUCGUGGAAGUGACAGAGGAAGUGGUUUUGGUGAUCGAGGCGGAAAAAGUGAUGGUUUUGGUGACACAGGAGAUGGAUUUGAUGAUAAUAAAUAUCAUGGAGUUAAUUCUGGUGGAAGAAAAUGUUUCAAAUGUCAGGAAGAAGGUCACCUUUCCAGAGACUGUCCUAACCCCGAAUUAGGUGGUGGAAGAGGGAAUAGAGGUGGGAGAGGAUUUGGAGGGAAUGAUAAUGAUGGCUUUGAGGAAGGACGAUCUAACAAAUGCUUUAAAUGCCAAGAAGAAGGACAUAUAUCAAGGGAUUGUCCCAAUCCCUCUGCCGAUCCUGAGCGAAAGAAACCUGUUACAUAUGAACCACCAGCGAUUAAUGACGAUGAACUGCUCGACGAUCAAAUGACAACAGGAAUAAACUUUGAUGCCUAUCAGCGCAUCCCCGUUAAGGUAACAGGGGAUGACCUACCUGAAAGCUUAAUAAAAGGAGUUGCUAGUUUCGAAGAAGCAGAAUUAUACGAUAAAUUUUUGAAUAAUGUGCGAGAAGUCGGGUAUAAAAAACCAACUCCAAUUCAAAAGCAUGCUAUGCCAAUAAUCAUGUCUGGAAGAGAUAUGAUGGGUUGCGCUCAGACAGGAUCAGGAAAAUCAGCUGCUUUCAUUUUACCUAUUAUUUCAAUGAUGAUGAAAUCUGGAUUACAAGGAGGAAGUGAAUAUGCUGAUAUUCAAACACCACAAGCUCUUGUUGUAUGUCCAACUCGGGAGUUGAUAAACCAAUUAUAUACAGAGGCAAGAAAGUUCUCGAAAGGUUCAAGACUGAAAGUUCAAGUAGCUUAUGGAGGUACAUCUGUCAGAGUCUGUAGCGAAAGAAUCCGAUACGGAACAAAUUUACUAUGUGCUACACCUGGUCGAUUGCUCGAUAUUAUUUCGCGAAAUUACAUCUCACUUGAAAAUUUAGAAUUUUUAGUGCUUGAUGAAGCUGAUAUAAUGUUGGAUAUGGGAUUUAAAGAUGACAUAGAUAAGAUCGUGCGAGCAUGCCCGGAGAAAGGUAUCCGACAAACGCUGAUGUUUAGCGCUACCUUCCCAAGAUCAAUUCAAGAAAUGGCUUCAAGGUACCUGGCUGAUGACUAUGUAUUUGUUGCAGUUGGGCGCAUUGGGGGAGCAUGUGAAUUAGUCAAACAAGUCAUUGUACAGUGUGACUCUUUGGAAAAAAGAGAUAAAUUGACUGAAAUUUUGGAACAACGAAGUGACAGGGACAAAAUUUUGAUAUUUGUCAAGAUGAAACGAAAUGCCGAUUUUCUUGCUUCUCUCCUGUCCCAAAAAGACUUUCCAACUACGUCUAUUCACGGUGAUCGAGAACAAUUUCAACGAGAGGAAGCUUUAAGAAAUUUUAAAUCGGGUAGUCGUCCAAUUAUGGUAGCAACAUCGGUAGCUGCAAGAGGCUUGGAUAUUCCAGGAGUGACUCAUGUAAUCAACUAUGACUUACCCACUGAAAUUGAUGAAUACGUCCAUAGAAUCGGACGUACAGGUAGAUGCGGUCACGAAGGAAAAUCAACUAGCUUUUAUUCCCCUGGUGAAGAUUCAAGACUUGCCGAAAGUCUAGUCAGCAUUCUAGCCGAAGCUAAUCAAGAAGUUCCACCGUUUUUGGAGAGCGCUCGCGGAUAUGGUGGUGGACGAGAAUCUGAAGGAAUAUAUGGCGGAACCGACAAUCGUAGGAACGAUCGUCAUGAAAUCCAAGAAGAAGAGUGGUAA